rnacentral:rRNA from 1 species
AACGAACGCUGGCGGCAUGCCUAACACAUGCAAGUCGAACGAGACCUUCGGGUCUAGUGGCGCAUGGCUGCGUAACGCCGGGGAACUUGCUCUUAGGUUCGGAACAACUUGCCGAAAGGGGAUAUAAUAUCGGAAAAGGUCCUAGGACCAAAGAUUGUCGGCCUUCGGAUGGGGGCGAGUUGGAUUAGCUGGUGGGUAGGCUAAACGCCUAUCAAGGCGGCGAUCCAUAGCUGGGCUGAGAGGAUGAUCAGCCACACUGGGACUGAGACACGGCGCGGACUCCUGCGGGAGGCAGCAAUGGGGAAUAUUGGACAAUGGGCGAAAGCAUGAUGCAGCAAUGCCGCGAGAGUGAUGAAGGCGUUAGGGUUGUGAGGCUCUUUUACCCGGGAUGAUAAUGACGGUACCGGGAGAAUAAGCGCCGGCUAACUCCGUG